GGGCCUUUAGCUCAGUUGGUUAGAGCAUCCGACUCAUAAUCGGCAGGUCCCCAGUUCUUAUGAAGGGCGGUAUUGGAGGUUACAUUCAAAGACCUU
rnacentral:tRNA from 1 species